rnacentral:rRNA from 1 species
AACGAACGCUGGCGGCAGGCCUAACACAUGCAAGUCGAACGCCCAGUAAUGGGCGUGGCGCACGGGUGCGUAACGCGUGGGAAUAUGCCCUUCACUACGGAACAACGUUUGGAAACGAACGCUAAUACCGUAUAAUGACUCCGGUCCAAAGAUUUAUCGGUGAAGGAUUAGCCCGCGUUAGAUUAGCUAGUUGGUGAGGUAAUGGCUCACCAAGGCAACGAUCUAUAGGGGGUCUGAGAGGAUGAUCCCCCACACUGGAACUGAGACACGGUCCAGACUCCUACGGGAGGCAGCAGUGAGGAAUAUUGGACAAUGGGCGCAAGCCUGAUCCAGCCAUGCCGCGUGAGUGAUGAAGGCCUUCGGGUUGUAAAGCUCUUUUAACGGUGAAGAUAAUGACGGUAGCCAUAGAAAAAGCCCCGGCUAAAUUCGUGCCAGCAGCCGCCGUAA